rnacentral:rRNA from 1 species
GACGAACGCUGGCGGCGUGCUUAACACAUGCAAGUCGAACGGGCGAAGUGAUAGCUUGCUAUUAUGGAGCCUAGUGGCAAACGGGUGAGUAACGCGUAGGCAACCUGCCUUAUACAAAGGGAUAGCCUCGGGAAACCGGGAUUAAUACCUUAUGAAACUGUAACUGCACAUGCAGAAUCAGUCAAAGCGUAAAGCGGUAAAAGAUGGUCUCGCGUCCCAUUAGCUAGUUGGUGAGAUAACGGCUCACCAAGGCAACGAUGGGUAGCCGGACUGAGAGGUUGAACGGCCACAUUGGGACUGAGACACGGCCCAGACUCCUACGGGAGCAGCAGUGGGGAAUAUUGCACAAUGGCGCAAGCCUGAUGCAG